rnacentral:lncRNA from 1 species
UUGGGUCAGAGCUGAGAGCACUCUGUCCAACAGAGACAACAGGGUGUCUCUGCGGCUUCCUGUUUACUUCUUACAGCAGUUAAAUCCAUCCGGAAGAUUCACUCAAGACUUAAAAACCUCUUUGAAAAAAAGUUCAUUUCUGCCUCUGUGGCUUCACUUAAUUUUUUCAGGGGUUAUCAAGGUAGCAUUUGGUGCAUUACACAUGUGCUGCUGUGAAAAUUGGAAAAAAAGACAAUGAGACAGAUCAUAUUUCAGGUCAUGAGAUGAAAGCUAUCCCCAGCAGGUGUUUCCAUGGCAGACGCAAUAUCCACUGAUACUGAAGGACUUACAUUGUGUUCAGCGCUCUUCAGCCUGUUUCCCUCCACAGCUACUAUGUGGGAGGGUCGUGACCACUCAGCCAGAGCUACUUCUCCCACCAGAGACAAGACACACACAGCAGGCCAUGCACUGUGACCAUGCCGCCUUAAAUAGCCCACACUGAUGCCUGCUCACACAGACCCGCGGUGAGUCACUUCAGCACAGAGCUGAAAAGCUGCUCGGGAGCAAAGAGGGAAAAAAUGACUGUGUUCGUGGUUAAGUUUUACUUCUUUCUAUCUCACAUGUUUGUCUUCUUCUGCCAGUAUGCUGUUUUUUGGUAUCCUCAGAAACAAUGACUCAUCAAAAAUUAAGAUUUAAUCUGUGCAAUGCAACUAUUCUUGUGGUAAGACUAAAAGAGUGUUGCCAACAAUAUUAUUCCAAAUAAAUCUGUGAUAUAACCUCAUAUGUCAAAAAUACAGUAGAAAAUAUGAUUGAGCAUUUUUAUAAUGCUUACUCCACUUUUCACAAGCUUAUGUGCAGGCUUAUGUGAAGGCAGGCCAGAUGUAUAUCUAUUCAUGCCAACAUGAAUCUCUUUGAUAACUCCCCCCCUUUGUAACAUUUUGGUCUGUCAUCUUCCUUGAGUAUGUUUAAAAACUUUCUCGAGAUGAUCAUGUCCAGGGACCUGUCACACCAGCUGAGUUAAGGUAUGUAGUCCUAAUGAUGAUCUACAUACAAUCUGCAUAUUCAUGAAGGCAAACAUGCUAAAUGGAUUGCGCGCGCUGUUUUGCUCAUUUGACAGACACUAUCCUUGGUGCACCCAGUUGCAGAUCAGCUUUGCGUGCGUAAUCAAGUUUGGGUGUUUUUGCACAAGCAAACCUUGAGUAGAUCAGGCUCUUCUUUUUUUUUUUUUUGUUACCUCCGCUAAGGAUGUUAUGUUUUCAGUAGCGUUGGUUUGUUUGUUUGUCUGUUAGCAACUUUACGGAGAAAGUUACAGACGGAUUGACCUGAAAUUUUCACCAGAGGUGCGUCUCAGCCCCAGGAGGAUGCCAAAUUUUGGUUGUGAUCCGGACAAAAUUUUGGAUACUGUGAUGCAGAACACACAAAAAUAAGGGUGUUGUUGGAAUUUUCAAUGCUGAAAGAUAACCAAUGGGCGGCACACUGGUGCAGAUAGGUGGCACAGUGGUGUAGUGGUUAGCACUGUUGCCUCACAACCAGAAGGUCCUGUGUUUGAAUCCUGGCAAGGGUAUUUCUUGUUUUAGGAACAUUAUGAACAGUGUACAUACCAGUUUAAACACAAAUAAACAUUAAUAAAAGACACGCAACAGUAAAAGUUUUGGUGUAAAUCUCAAUAUAAGGGGGGACAUGAGCUGCUUGGCGGAGGUCUGCACUCUCCGAGUGCUUUUCUAGUUUUUAAUGUGGCCCUAAUAUUCCAUCAUAGGUCAUACAUUUUAAUUUGAUGUACUUAUCACAGAAAACACACUGCCUGCACAAAUCAGCAAGUCAAACUCUCUGGUUCUCUUCCAAGUCCUCCCACCUUUAAAAAAAAUGAUGCAAUGAGACAAUCAUUAAUUUUGGUGGACUUUGCACUAAGACUGGGUGGUCUGACAAAAAAAAGAAAAAAAUGAUUGAUAUAUUUUGCCAUACCGUCCGAUCUCAAUUGUUAUCACAAAUUUUUUUUAAACUGCCAAUUUUAAAGCAUCUGUACUGAAAACUUAAGCAAUUAGAGAUUAUUUCAACAUUUUAUUAACAUGCAAAGUAAAUAACUAAGUAAAUUGAAUAAGAUAAACAUCAGAAAAUACAAAAAACAUUUUAACUCAACAGUACAAGAAAUAUAAAUACUAAAUAAUACAGUGAACUACUUCACAGUCCUGAGUGUUUUUGCAGGUAUGCAAGACCCAAAAUAAACAAUUGGCCCCACUCAGGAAUAAUGAAGAUGCCUUAAAAUGUAAACAUUAGAUGAUGUAAACAUAGAUGAUACGAUUGAUUGCUGCUUUGAUUUGGUGGCUGCACCGCUAGUUGUGGCUAAACCCAAACCCAAACCAAAUCCCAAAUGGGAAAUUAAAUUCAACCUCUGUGAAGUUUGAACUAAGGCUACGUUCACACUGCAUGGUGCACAAUUCGGAUUUUUUGUUAAAUCCGAUCUUUUUGUGCGGUCGUUCACAUUACAACGAAUGUGGCAUCUAAUGUGAAUAGAAUGCAUCCCUGAAGUGACCCGCAUGCGCACAAAGCACAAAUUUCUUUCCACGCCUGUUUGUGUUGUCCAACAAUGGUGACAUUUGUCACAUAUUGAUGACGUGUAGGUCGGAUGAAUGCGACCUAAGCGUCCACACUGCAGUCACAUCAGAUACAUAUCCGAUUUAUAUCCACAUACAAAAGAGGCCUGGGUCAGAUUUAAAAAUAUGAAUUGCACUGUUCACACUUACAUGAAAAAAUCUGAUAUGUGUCACAUAUGGUAAAUAUCGGAAUUGACCUGCGGUGUGAACAUAGCCUUAGACAGGACUUACAGUCAUAGCUGGUGCAACCAAGUGAAGGUUUGAUUUUACAAAGUUAACUAGUGUAGUUUAGUGUGCUAACAUGCUAAUAUUUUGAUAUCGAAAGUCAAAAUACAGGCUCAUUUAUGCGUCCUUGAUGCAUUUAAAAACACAUCCUCUAUUGACCCAAAUACAAGAAUCCUCUGAUCUCCCUCCUCUCGUCUUAAACCACUGUCCUCUGGGUAGCAAACAGAGCUUCACACCACUUAGCAUGGCAGGUCUGUAAGUACUUCCAGUUUAGCUGAGGACUGAGGGCUUUGGGGUCCAGGGAUUGCCUGGAUUCAAACAUUACCAUAAGCAAAAACAGGCACCAAAACGGAAAUCCUACCAAGUAAAACAACAAAAGUGCUUGUGCAGGUUUUUCCAAAGGACAUGCUUUCAUGUCAAAGUCACACAGACCUUUUAAUGCCUACAGCACUAUACUUAAUAGCAAAGGAGGAGGAAGUAAAGGGAUUUUAUGAGAAAGCAAUUUUUUUAACUGCGGCUAAAAAAGUAUUUGGAGGUUCUUGCUAAAAAAGCUGCUGUUCUGCUUAUGGUUGUUGGGAAAAGAAAAGUCUCGUCGCUGUGAGAACUUCACAUACUGUAUCUUUAAAGACUUGAAAUAGCUUCUGUGGCUGGUAAGACAAAGCUGUACAUAACUUUUACAUUUCUUGGACUACUUUUAAAAUGUACUACGUGGACUGUAAAUUGCUGGUAAAAAAUAUAUAAUUUUUUUUUGAUGAAUAUCUCAUACUUUAAAUUCCCAUUGAGUGCAACCAUGCACAGUGUUUUCCUCACCUAUAUAAAAGACCUAAUUCAUCCGGAUCAGAAACUGUAGAUUUUGGUAUUUCUGAGCCUUUAGCCAGCCUGAUGGACACUGUAUGACAGAAUUAACAGUCACAAAUUAUGCAGAUGUGAUUUAAGAUUAAGCAUUUUUUUUGUUUCUAAUGCUCUCAAGAAAUGUCAUUGAACAACUUGUUGUCACUGGAGUGUUAAAUUUCAUAUGCAAAUCAGUGCUGCAUACCGCAAAAUUCUGCAAAACACCAAAAAGAGUUCAUUCUGCUGUAGUGAUUACCCUUGACCAUCCCUGCAUCAAUCAGUCACACACUCAUCACACGCACACACGCACACACACACACACACACACACACACACACACACACACACACACACACACACACACACACACAGCUACUGUACUUACUGUACAGUCUCUUUCACUCCCACUUCUGUGUUUGUUCAUCCCUUUGACAAUAUUGAACCUUCAGUAAGUUGAGAGACUGGUCAGUUUGACUUUGCAGAAAUGUGCAGUAUUGCAGUUUAAGUCUCAGGCGGGGGUUCACUCUGAUCGAUGCACAAAGGCUUAGAGAAGGCAGAGUGGAGCUGGCACCUGUGAGGCACAUCGAGUUUGAAUUGACAGCUGCAGAGCUGUGAGGUGUGUCUCCAGUGAGGGCAGGAAGCUGAGCCUGGAGACCUCUUUUAUUCCCACGUAAUGUUGAAAUACUCCAGUGCAAUAGACAACCUGUCUUAAACAAAGCCUAUCUGAUGUUAAUAGACUGUAGCAGUUCAAAAUAAAAGUAUAUGGCGCAGGGAGGUUUAUUGAAUUAGCCUCGCUGAAGCUGAUACAAUAAAACCGAUAAGAUUUUACAGCAGCUUUCACAUGGGAAAAAUGAAAAGAAGUCUGUUCUCCCACUUCACACUCUGAAUAAUGUACACUCAUCUGUGCUGCAAACCAGUGGAUAUCAGUAAUCAUUACUGUCCUGGCUGUCAGGUUCCCUUGUAACAGUAAGGUAUUUGACAUGUAUAUUCUUUGGGUACUGCAAAAUGGCGAAGUGCAUUUUUAAAACGGGCUUUUAAAGAGUAAAUAUAGAGGCAUGGUUUUACAUGUUUGUGAGGAGGUAUUACCAGGGAUGCCCGAUUAAAUCUUCAGGGAGAGAACAGGCUUUUAGUAUUCACUCUGAGCAUAAACAUCUAAGAACUUACAGGGAUGAAAUUCCACUUCUGUUACUAGGAAACAUCAGAGAGGGUCUCCCUGAAAUCCUGAUGCAGAAAAACAAAGCAAGCUAAGCAGAUUGCACAAAUGUAGCUCAUCAUUUUUAAUAUCCUCUCUAUGGAAAAAUUAAAUGAACAUCAAACCAUCAGAAAUAUAGCUUUACCAAAGUUGAAAGAACACAGUGUGAAAAACAAGAGAAAAAGGAGCUGACAGAGGCAAGUGGACCUAAAUAGACCGGGUGAAGAAAACAUGGAGGAGUGUGGUGGUAAAUAAUUGAGGGUGAAAGAGCUCCCACUGACCUGCUGUGAUACUCUGCUCAGUUUCCCUCUGACUACACAGGUCCAAGAAAUCAGUGAAAUGUUCCCUUUAACUUGGACAUACACUGCAUCCCAGGAUAAUCGGAUCGAUGGCCACUGAUUGCCCACCUUGCUCGGCUGUUAGGGCCAUUACCAAUGUUGUCUUCAAUCGAUCAUAGGAGAAAAGUGUGUGUGUGUCCUGGUCCCAGCUUGAGAUAGAUAUUCUGUGGUGAAGGUCUGCUGGCCUCUCACCUUUAGUUUUUUGACCAACCAUCUCAAGAGGAAGGCUAGGGCACAGAGUGGAGGAUAGUUUUAAAUAAGGGGUUCAUUAGGAAGCUGUGCCCACCAGCACCAUCUUAUUGAAGGGAGACCAGGGUUGGUUCUCACAAAACUUAUUACAGAAAAACAAAGGUAGAGAGUCAUCAAGUUCAUAGCAAAUAUUUGGUCUAAUGCAGUGAUUUAUAAUGCAGAUAUUUUCUGAAUCAGACGCAAAACAUUGAGCUGAGAAAUAAUUUCUUAUCUUUAUGAUUACUUAAUGGGGCUCUAAUUUUGUGCCGGCCGGCAGCACAGCACAGGGUGGCGCAGUGCAGGGCACAGUGGCGCACAGAGGCGCACUGAGAUGCAUCAAGAUGGGCAUAGCAGUGCAGUAGGGGGAGGUGUCGACAUAAUCAGCUGAGGCAUUGGCAAUUUCAAAAAUGCGAACAAAACAACAAAAGACACCUUCAUUCAAAAUAGCCCAUUUAUCUAAUGUUUCCACAUUCUUAGAUUCUGUGAGUAUUCAAUCUUGAGUUAGGUCUACAUGCCAACAUUAUAAUAAUCAGUUAGUUAUUUUACAUGACAACAUUAGUGGUAUAAAAAUCCAGGCAAAAUUAGAGCCCUUCAUGUUGAAGGUGGUUUUGAACUAAAUUCACCUUGCGGUUAAGUAUGUUUUUUACAUUAAUGAAAUAGACACCCAUGACACAGAAAUUCAGACCAGUGCUAUAACAUGAUAGUCAGAAGUAAAGGCAGCAAGAUCAGGUUUUUUUGUAUCAUAAUCUUUAGUGCCUGAAACCAGCAUAUUGGGUCAAGAAGCAGGUUUUACAGUUUACACCCAAAACAUUACAAUGAAUGACACAUUAGACUGUCAAAAGUCAAUACUAAGGCCACUUUUAGACGGAAACGGUCUCCAUAGAAAACAGAAAAAUUUAGUUUCGUUUAGAGGGGUCUGUUUAGACUGCAGCUGCGUUUUCAGGAGAUGAAAACGUAACAAAGUGAAAACCCCCUCCAGAGUGGAAAUGUUGUAAACGCUCUGCUACUCCCGCUUUCGUCGAAAGUACAAAAAUGCUAGACAUUCGAGUCGGGCUGUCGUUAUUAUUGAACGGGCAGGAGCUCAAUUUCGACCUGUACAGAAUCCUCACAGAUCAUACUGCUUAGCAGAGGAGGCGUCUGAAUUAUUUGCAUCAAAUAAUUAAUGAAGAAAGGAAGUUGUUCUACAUAUGCGUUGUUGGUCUAUAUGGGAGCGCGGUCACAUUGACACGAGCCACUUAGCGACCUGGCAUGCACAUUACAGCGUUUUCAACCACAUUGCGUUUUUGUGUAAACACAGCAUAAAAACUGAAAACGAAACGGCACUUUUCCGUUUUCUAUAGAGACCGUUUCCGUCUAAAAGUGGCCUCAGGCAUGAAGAGGAUAAGCUAAGCAAAGACUGCUUUGUCCACCAGGGUCGCUAAAAUUGACUCGAAUUAAAAGUUCCUCCCUGGAGCUUUAAAAGUUAUUUGGAAGUGGAAGUAGAUAGUUUAAGUUUCAGCUAGAUACUUCAAGCCCGCUGGUAACUGUCACAAAGUCUUUGACAAGAUAAAAGAAGGGGCUGGUUGUAAGAAACUUGCUCUGGGAAAAGUUGGAUUUGUUAUCCAUGCCUACUUUUAAAGUCAUCAUUUUACAUACUGUCGGUCAUUUUGGGACUUUUUUUUUCAUAUCAGUAUAAAAAGACAAUUACUAUUCCAACUGUCUGACACAGUCCAUAUGGUCUCCAGUGUUUUUGAAAAAACACACCCACACAUUCGCACCCAUUUAUUUUUUUGCAGCAUUAAACACGUCACCUUUGUUAUAAUUCACUUCAAAGGAUAGGUCAAACAGCCAAAUGCAAUCUGUUGCCAGCAAGCUAGCUUGUAGCUGAAUAACAACAAGACAGACUUAAUUAAAAUGCUGAAAAGAUUAACUGUGAAUCCAAAAAUAUUGACACAGCUUGUGGUUUAGGUUAUAUUUUUCAUCCAGAUCCGCAACUUGUGAUCUUUAGGAAGUAACUCAUAUUCCAAAAAACAAGGAUAGUUUUACCGAGACAGGAGAAAUAUCAAAAUAAAAGCAUGAAAAACAACUAUUUUUUAGAUAUUUACAAUAUACAAGUCAAUAGGAAGUAUACUAGCCACAGGGGAUCACGAUAAACCUAGCCACUUUGUCGAAAACCUGCUGGUGAACAGGAACUGAAGCUAGGUUAGCAACUACUACAGACUGGGUCAUCCCUACCACACACUUGAACUGAAUUUUACAAAACUCGAACCACAGCAAUAUACUUGGUGUACACUGUCUUUGAAAAAUGUAUAUUGCUUCACUUCCAUUCAUUUUUACACUUUUCUAAAAUGCUUUUUUCUAGAACCUGCGCUCAACCGAGUAACAGCAACUACUGAUGGAUAUUUCUGCUGGGACAAGAGUUUACUCAAAAGGGGAGCUUCUUUCAUUGAGACGGAGCCAAUCUGGACGACAACAUUUAAUCCCAGAAGACAUCAGGAGGCGUUAUCGUGGUUGCCGUGCUGAUGUAAAGGUGAAGGCAAAGUUAAAGGCUAAGAAAUAGAGGUAUAAACCCUUUCUUCUGUCAGUCACCAUGGGAAACAUCACCUCUCUACCCAACAAAAGUGAUGAGCUGGAGUUAUUGGUGAAGACUGAUAAAUCAUACCAUUUGUGCAGAACCUGUAUUUUACUUAAACCUGGUUGAAUAAAAACAACUCAGACUCCA